CGGCAGGCCUAACACAUGCAAGUCGAGCGGUAGAGAGAAGCUUGCUUCUCUUGAGAGCGGCGGACGGGUGAGUAAUACCUAGGAAUCUGCCUGAUAGUGGGGGAUAACGUUCGGAAACGGACGCUAAUACCGCAUACGUCCUACGGGAGAAAGCAGGGGACCUUCGGGCCUUGCGCUAUCAGAUGAGCCUAGGUCGGAUUAGCUAGUUGGUGAGGUAAUGGCUCACCAAGGCUACGAUCCGUAACUGGUCUGAGAGGAUGAUCAGUCACACUGGAACUGAGACACGGUCCAGACUCCUACGGGAGGCAGCAGUGGGGAAUAUUGGACAAUGGGCGAAAGCCUGAUCCAGCCAUGCCGCGUGUGUGAAGAAGGUCUUCGGAUUGUAAAGCACUUUAAGUUGGGAGGAAGGGCAGUUACCUAAUACGUGAUUGUCUUGACGUUACCGACAGAAUAAGCACCGGCUAACUCUGUGCCAGCAGCCGCGGUAAUACAGAGGGUGCAAGCGUUAAUCGGAAUUACUGGGCGUAAAGCGCGCGUAGGUGGUUUGUUAAGUUGAAUGUGAAAUCCCCGGGCUCAACCUGGGAACUGCAUCCAAAACUGGCAAGCUAGAGUAUGGUAGAGGGUAGUGGAAUUUCCUGUGUAGCGGUGAAAUGCGUAGAUAUAGGAAGGAACACCAGUGGCGAAGGCGACUAGCUGGACUGAUACUGACACUGAGGUGCGAAAG
rnacentral:rRNA from 1 species